GGGACAUUGUGUAAUAUCGUUGGGCCUCACACGUACGUUAUGUGACUCUCCUGCGUGUGCCCUGUCCAUGUGGGCCAUUGUGACAUAUUGCUGGGUCCAACAACUGGUUGAUGUAGCUCUACUGCCUAGGUCCUGCCUAUGGAGGACUUUGUGAUGUAUCCCUGAACCCAUCACACAGGUAAUGCAACUCUAUUCUCCUACCUGGCCCCUUCUCACAGAAGAGAUUGUAACAUAUCACUGGGCUAAGCACCUAGCUCACAUGACUCUCCCCCUCUUUCUAGAUUCUGCCCUCAGAGGACAUUGUGACAUGUCACUGGGCCUAAUACUAAGAUGACAUCAUUCUUUAGUUUUGGCACUGCCCUCAGAAGCCGUGGUGGUGUAUUGCUGGGCCCAGAGCCAAUGUGAUGUGAGUCUCCUGCCUGGAUCCUGCCUACAAGGUGAGAGAGAGUGACUUAUUACUGAGUUUAGCAUACACAUGAUGUGAUUUUCCUCCACUCACAGAAGUCAUUGUGACAUAUAUCUUGGCCCAUCACUGAGAUUGUGACUGUCUUUUUCCUGGGACCUGUCCACAGUGGAGAGUAUGACACUUUUUGGCCAAGCACCUACAAGAUACGACUCUCUUCUUACACCUGGGCCACUGGGGUGAUUUUGACAUGUAGUUGGCCCCAGCUCCAAGAUUAUGUGACUCCACACUUCUUCCUGAGCCCUACCUACAGGUAGCAUUGUGUCAUAUCUGUGAGACCCUCAAUUAGGUGAAAUGACUCUUUGUUUGGGCCCUCUUCUCAAGGUACCGUGACAUUGCUGGGCCCAGCAUCUAGGUGAUGUAACUCUACUGUACUGUUUGGUUUCUGCCUAAAAAGGG
rnacentral:lncRNA from 1 species